GGGUUGUGAGGUUAAGCGACUAAGCGUACACGGUGGAUGCCCUGGCAGUCAGAGGCGAUGAAGGACGUGCUAAUCUGCGAUAAGCGUCGGUAAGGUGAUAUGAACCGUUAUAACCGGCGAUUUCCGAAUGGGGAAACCCAGUGUGAUUCGUCACACUAUCAUUAACUGAAUCCAUAGGUUAAUGAGGCGAACCGGGGGAACUGAAACAUCUAAGUACCCCGAGGAAAAGAAAUCAACCGAGAUUCCCCCAGUAGCGGCGAGCGAACGGGGAGCAGCCCAGAGCCUGAAUCAGUGUGUGUGUUAGUGGAAGCGUCUGGAAAGGCGCGCGAUACAGGGUGACAGCCCCGUAC
rnacentral:rRNA from 1 species